rnacentral:rRNA from 1 species
GAUGAACGCUGGCGGCGUGCCUAAUACAUGCAAGUCGAGCGAACAGACGAGGAGCUUGCUCCUUCGACGUUAGCGGCGGACGGGUGAGUAACACGUAGGUAACCUACCUAUAAGACUGGGAUAACUUCGGGAAACCGGAGCUAAUACCGGAGAAGAUCUCGAACCGCAUGGUUCGAUAGUGAAAGACGGCUUUGCUAUCACUUAUAGAUGGACCUGCGCCGUAUUAGCUAGUUGGUAAGGUAACGGCUUACCAAGGCAACGAGACGUAGCCGACCUGAGAGGGUGAUCGGCCACACUGGAGCUGGGACGCGGUCCAGACUCCUACGGGAGGCAGCAGUAGGGAAUCUUCCGCAAUGGGCGAAAGCCUGACGGAGCGACGCCGCGUGUGUGAUGACGGUCUUCGGAUCGUAAAGCUCUGUUAUUAGGGAAGAACAAACGUGUAAGUAACUGUGCACGUCUUGACGGUACCUAGUCAGAAAGCCACGGCUAACUACGUG